GCCCGGAUGGCGAAAUUGGUAGACGCAAGGGACUUAAAAUCCCUCGGAUUGCAAUCCGUGCCGGUUCGACCCCGGCUCCGGGCA
rnacentral:tRNA from 1 species